AGGUUUGAUCCUGGCUCAGGACGAACGCUGGCGGCGUGCCUAAUACAUGCAAGUCGAGCGGAUCUUCAUUAGCUUGCUUUUGAAGAUCAGCGGCGGACGGGUGAGUAACACGUGGGCAACCUGCCUGUAAGACUGGGAUAACUUCGGGAAACCGGAGCUAAUACCGGAUAAUCCUUUCCCUCACAUGAGGGAAAGCUGAAAGACGGUUUCGGCUGUCACUUACAGAUGGGCCCGCGGCGCAUUAGCUAGUUGGUGAGGUAACGGCUCACCAAGGCAACGAUGCGUAGCCGACCUGAGAGGGUGAUCGGCCACACUGGGACUGAGACACGGCCCAGACUCCUACGGGAGGCAGCAGUAGGGAAUCUUCCGCAAUGGACGAAAGUCUGACGGAGCAACGCCGCGUGAACGAUGAAGGCUUUCGGGUCGUAAAGUUCUGUUGUCAGGGAAGAACAAGUACCGGAGUAACUGCCGGUACCUUGACGGUACCUGACCAGAAAGCCACGGCUAACUACGUGCCAGCAGCCGCGGUAAUACGUAGGUGGCAAGCGUUGUCCGGAAUUAUUGGGCGUAAAGCGCGCGCAGGCGGUUCCUUAAGUCUGAUGUGAAGCCCCCGGCUCAACCGGGGAGGGUCAUUGGAAACUGGGGAACUUGAGUGCAGAAGAGGAGAGCGGAAUUCCACGUGUAGCGGUGAAAUGCGUAGAGAUGUGGAGGAACACCAGUGGCGAAAGCGGCUCUCUGGUCUGUAACUGACGCUGAGGCGCGAAAGCGUGGGGAGCGAACAGGAUUAGAUACCCUGGUAGUCCACGCCGUAAACGAUGAGUGCUAAGUGUUAGAGGGUUUCCGCCCUU
rnacentral:rRNA from 1 species